rnacentral:rRNA from 1 species
UACAGAGGGGGCAAGCGUUGUUCGGAAUUACUGGGCGUAAAGGGCGCGUAGGCGGCCUGCUAAGUCGAACGUGAAAUCCCUGGGCUCAACCCAGGAACUGCGUCCGAUACUGGUUGGCUUGAAUCCGGGAGAGGGACGUGGAAUUCCAGGUGUAGCGGUGAAAUGCGUAGAUAUCUGGAGGAACACCGGUGGCGAAGGCGGCCCGCUGGGCAGUGACUGACGCUGAGGCGCGACAGCGUGGGGAGCAAACAGG